rfam:Salmo salar isolate Sally breed double haploid chromosome ssa20, whole genome shotgun sequence.
UGCAUGCAUGACUGUAAGUUACUUUGAAGAAAAGUGUCUGCUAAAUGGCAUAUA